CAGUCGAACGAUUGCCUUCGGGUGAUAGUGGCGCACGGGUGCGUAACGCGUGGGAAUCUGCCCUUAGGUUCGGAAUAACAGCUGGAAACGGCUGCUAAUACCGGAUGAUAUCGCGAGAUCAAAGAUUUAUCGCCUGAGGAUGAGCCCGCGUUGGAUUAGGUAGUUGGUGGGGUAAAGGCCUACCAAGCCGACGAUCCAUAGCUGGUCUGAGAGGAUGAUCAGCCACACUGGGACUGAGACACGGCCCAGACUCCUACGGGAGGCAGCAGUGGGGAAUAUUGGACAAUGGGCGCAAGCCUGAUCCAGCAAUGCCGCGUGA
rnacentral:rRNA from 1 species